AAAAAAGAAUUGCAAUGGCUUCGGAAGUUUGCGUCGGCACACUUUUGCCAUCGCCAAAAACUGGCAUUUCGCUUCGGCAAAGCUACACCGUCGCACGUCUUACGACUGAGUAAAUAUGCCGUCGCAUGGGGGUAGCCAAAGAUUAGAACUUGGCUUCGGCAAAGAUUAGCUGUCGCAAGGUAUGAAAAGUUUGCCACUGCAACAUACAUGUCGUCGCAUAAGAAAGCUACGAGAUUCUUUUAAGAAAAUCUGAUUUCGAAUCGAAAAAGCCCCAUUUUCUUCAACCCUCUUCCUCUUCCACAACCUUCUAUAUCCUUUUCUCCAUUCUUGUUCCAACUCACCAAAUUGAGGUUCGAAGAACUUGGUUGCCAUUGGGUUGAUCUGGAUCCAGAUCCAGGGCUUAUUCUUGCUUGUGUAUUUCAAUUAAUUUCCUCGAUCUCCUAUCAUUCCUUUUCCAUUAUUGUUGAACUCUAGUCAACUAACAUGCUUCAAUUUCGUUGGCUGGGUUUCACUGCGAAUUCCCAUUUCACUCUAGUUUGCUAAACGAGAAGCUUCCAAUCUCCCGCCCAUCCUUUAUCACGAUUAUUCUCUGUGCAUCCAAUUUCACAACAGAAAAAGAAAACCCUAGCUAGAUUUUUGGGGAAAAUCAGAAUGAAUGUCAAGGACAUCUUGGGUCUGCCCAAAACCACGCAUCCCUUAUAGCAGGAGAAGAAAUCGCGACCUCGCAACGAGUCUCAGCACAAACCCUAUGGCAUUUCACGCGAGGUCUAUACCCUAAUUGGCGGUGCGCCACCUCUUAUGCCUGCAAUUGAGCUGUCGCAGCUCAGAAAACGCCCUCCAACCAGUUGAGAAGGUUAGAGUUGUCAAUGGCGUCCUGCCUGCUGGUGACUAUUCCUUUGCUAAGAAUAACAAGGUAUGUACAAAGUAACCUCGAUCAACUGUGCUAGGAAGGUGGCCUCUCUUCUUAAUCUGAGAGUAGCAAUGAAUGUGAAGGCAACAGCACUGUCCGUCACACCGUAAAGCUGUAUACUUCUCUCAUCUUAUUGCUAGAUGCUUUUAUAUUUCAAUACAUGAUUGUACAUCAGGAUACAGGUUGGUAUUUUGAUAUUAACUUUACCAGGAAAAAAAAAACGAUUGAGGUUGUUAUACUUGAUUGAUAUCUAUACUGCAUAAGGUGCUAGAAGUUCUCAGCUAAACUGAUCUAAUGGUAGGUGCCAAGGUGGUUUGGCAUUGGAGGUAGAAGUUUAAUUUUCUGAUGAUUUUCACCUUAAUCUAUUGGAGGUUAGUAUAGUUGCCAAUAUUAUUACCGUACAAAAGAAGGAUUUUCUCACAAAGAGAAGAUAAUUGUAAAUGAACACCACAAUCAUUAAUUUCAAAGCAAUCUCUGUUAUUAUCAUUCUGCUUUCUUGUUAAUAUUGUUCUCUGAUUAGUACUUGAAUUCAUAUAUUUUAAU